UAAUACGUAGGAGGCGAGCGUUAUCCGGAUUUACUGGGCGUAAAGCGGGCGUAGGCGGUCCUUCAAGUCGGAUGUAAAAUCUCCCGGCUCAACUGGGAGGGACCAUUCGAAACUGCUGGGCUUGAGGAUAGCAGAGGGAGGUGGAAUUCCCGGUGUAGUGGUGAUAUGCGUAGAUAUCGGGAGGAACACCAGUGGCGAAGGCGGCCUCCUGGGCUAUUUCUGACGCUGAGGCCCUAAAGCGUGGGGAGCGAACAGGAUUAGAUACCCUGGUAGUCCACGCCGUAAACGAUGGACACUAGGUAUGGGGAGUAUCGACCCUCUCCGUGCCGAAGCUAACGCCUUAAGUGUCCCGCCUGGGGACUACGGCCGCAAGGCUA
rnacentral:rRNA from 1 species